UCACUUGGUUCUUUUUUUCCUCUCUAACCAUAUCUGAUCAGUAGCUACAUAAUGUGGAUUCUCAACCUCAUAUUUCUUUCACUAAACUCUCAUUUUUUUUGUAUUUAUACUAUUGUCACCUCCCUGAUUCUGACGUGAAACACUUCCCCUCUCCUUUGUAGAUGAAGGAAUCAGAAUAACCCUAGACCUUCGAUAUCAGGAGGAAGAUGUAGAAGUCAGAAUGUAUUCAGCAUAUCGCAUCAUUGAUCCUGGUUUUGCUCAGAAAAAAGAAUGCAUUCUUAAACAAACAACAUGAAACUGUACUAAUGGAAGCAGAAACCAGGGAAACUUAAAUAAAAACCAACACAUUCAUAACAGGAUUAUGAAUUCAGUGGAAGCUUGGCUCAGUACAACUCUUCUACUCUACAGAGUUAAAACUACAGUUGGGAGUUGCCUUAACAAUCCUUCUGAGGCUUACAAAAGAGAAAUAGCAGAAGCAGAGAAAGAAUAAUUCUGAAAAAGUAUGAUUGCCAGAGGCUCAAAAAACUUUGGACUUGAUUAAUCUUUCUUGCCAUUAAUUUUGUAACUUGUACACAUCUGUUUCUCCUGUUGAACCUGAACACUUUGAAGGAAGGGAUUUUGAAUAAUUUUUAUCUUCUACAAUGCCAAAUAUGUAGAGGCUCUGAUAAAUAGAAGUGCUCAAUUGUUUGAAAAAGAGGCUGAAAGUUAAAGUUCUAUAAUAAAUUCCUGAAAUUAUCUUUUUUGUGUUUUUUUUCUUUAAGAAAAUCUCCUUUUCUCUUAAAAGUAGAACACUGGAAAAAAAUU
rnacentral:lncRNA from 1 species